AUUCCUGACCAACUUGUACACAAACUCCUUGGCUCGCAUCCACGACUCUUCCCAGCCUGGCUCAAGACCGUGUUCUUGCUGUCACCUAUUUGUCUUCACCAAACAUCUUCAUUUUCAAGUGAAUCUAACCUGCUGAUCACAGCUGCCAUUCCAUCCUGCCCUGUCAUGGCGCUGUUCCUCUCAUAGAUGCUUCGUGGAUCCCCCUUCUUUAAAAAGAUAACAGCAAAUGUGUGGCCAUAAAGCUGCCAUCCCUGGAUUUUGCUAAGUGAACCCUCUCUACUUUCCAUUUUUGCAACAUUUUGUUCUUCCUAUUGAGGGAGAGAUCUUAGUGUCCUUUAGAAGAGGAAGGAACAAAAAAGGUGCAAGCAACACUGUUAGCACUUGUGGCUUCUCCCACAUGCUGCUUGGAAGGCAGGUGAAGUCUGGCUUUGUGUUUCCAGCCUUUCUGAUUGGUGGCCCCCGUGGGACCAGAGCAGUCCCUGUGGGUUUUUCCCUGGGACUUGUGGAGGUUAUACGGGCAGGCUUUAAUUUUCCCCGGUAAGGGGACAGAAAGUCACAGGAAACCAACAUUUACCACAGGACAAGUGACAUUCUUUAGUCCUGUCUUUCACAAUUACAGGGAUGGUGUUUUGGCCUCCAUGAUUCUGACUUACUUUCUUAAUUAAUGUUGACCUCUGAAGAGAAAGAGCAGUUAAUUACAAUCUUCCUUUGAACUCAGACACCCACAUGACUCUUUUUAUGAACUUUUCUUUACCACAGAUUUUCCUAAUGUCUUAUUUGUAUUUAUAAUCCAAUAGCAUAAGCAUAUAGAAAGAAGAGGCAAACUUACAAGUUGUCCCCCAUUCUAUCUCUUUAGACUUAGAUUUGUGUACAGGGCUUUGUUCUUGCUUUCUUUGCCCCGGACGCUGUCCUUCCACAGCUUCCGGCUCAUUUCCUUCUAGUCGCUUAAUAGUCACUUCUAGAAAGCUCUAUUUGUUUGUAUAGGGAUUAUUAUAGGCUAACAAAUUUGAUAUUAAAAAUUAAAGAAUAAAUAUAGAUGAUAUUAAAUGAGAUAUUUCCUGUUUCUUCUAAUUAUACGUGAAGCCAGAGCUGAUUAUGAAGUAUACCAAAUUCUCCAUAGCUAUGGUCACAAAGGUCUGUGUGAUAAAGGUUUGCUCUCAGGAGUGGCACUUUUGUGAGAUGGAGGAAUCCUUGGCAGUAGGCCUUGGGGGCUCCUUAGAUCACUGGGAAUACGUCAUUAUGGGGACCAGGGAAUACCUAGACUCUUCUUCUUCCUCUUUCAUCCCUGGCUCAUGAGGUGAGUGAUUUUGCUCUGUUGCUUGCUCUCUGUCAUUGUCAUCUGGCAUCCUCACCAGAGGCCCAAUGCAAUGCUCCCUCCCAUCUUGGAUUGGAGCCUCUGGAACUAUCAGGUAGAUAACCCUUUCCUCAUUAUGUGUUAACUGCUUCAGGUAUUUUGUGUUAGUAAUGUGAAGCUGACUAAUGUAGUCACAUUAUAAAGAUUGACACUAAUCCAUUUUUAUAGAAUUUACUGAGGCAUGACCAGAUGGAAUCUUCAAAUCAUCUUCAAGUAUAUGAGGAUGAUUUGAGAAGGUACUCAACAGAGGAUGGAGGGUAAGAUUACUGCGGCAUUUCCCCGCUCAUCACUCUGAGGAGAAAAAUAGGUUUGUCUCUUUUCUCCAAGCUAGGCAAACCUGGAAGAGUGAUGUCUGCCGACAGGGGAUAUUGAGACGGGGGCCUCCCUCUUAUCUGGAGAGCUAUCAGGGUGCAAGGAUGGCUGAAGAGAUGGUCAGUGAGGACCUCUGGCAGCAGAGGACCCAGCCAGGACUUCCAGAGUCCCACGGAACAAGCUGGGCUUGAACUUGCAGUCUUCCUACCUCAACCUCCCAGAGGGCUGGAUGAUAGGCAUGUGCUUCCAUACCCAUCACGGCUUUCAUAGUUUUAAAAGAGUCAUAUGCAGGAAGAAGAAAUGGAGGCACGAGGAGUUUACUUGUUCAAGAUCACAGAAUUACCAUGCUUCACAACCAGGGUUUAAAUAAGCGGAUCAUAGAUCCAUCAACCAGGUGCCAUCUUGGAAGCAGACAGCAGGCCCUUGCCAGAACCCAGUCCUGUUGUCGCCCUGCUCUUGGAAGUUCCGGCCUCCAGAGAUUUGAGAAAUGAAUGUGUUUGUUAUUUAUAAAUUACCCACUGUAUAGCGUUUUGUUAUAGCAGCAUAAACAAAGAUUUUCAUAGCAUAGCAGAAAAUGUGUGUGUGUAGUGUUAGUACCUAUAGAAGUGCUUAGGACAUGGUAUACAUUAAUAAAUGAUUGUUGAAUAGAAAUGUAUGGGAAAACAAAGUGUAG